AGUGAACGCUGGCGGUAGGCCUAACACAUGCAAGUCGAACGGCAGCACAGUAAGAGCUUGCUCUUACGGGUGGCGAGUGGCGGACGGGUGAGGAAUACAUCGGAAUCUACUUUUUCGUGGGGGAUAACGUAGGGAAACUUACGCUAAUACCGCAUACGACCUACGGGUGAAAGCAGGGGAUCUUCGGACCUUGCGCGAUUGAAUGAGCCGAUGUCGGAUUAGCUAGUUGGCGGGGUAAAGGCCCACCAAGGCGACGAUCCGUAGCUGGUCUGAGAGGAUGAUCAGCCACACUGGAGCUGAGACACGGUCCAGACUCCUACGGGAGGCAGCAGUGGGGAAUAUUGGACAAUGGGCGCAAGCCUGAUCCAGCCAUACCGCGCGGGUGAAGAAGGCCUUCGGGUUGUAAAGCCCUUUUGUUGGGAAAGAAAAGCAGCAGGUUAAUACCCCGCUGUUCUGACGGUACCCAAAGAAUAAGCACCGGCUAACUUCGUG
rnacentral:rRNA from 1 species